GACGAACGCUGGCGGCGUGCUUAACACAUGCAAGUCGAACGGAAAGGCCCUGCUUUUGUGGGGUGCUCGAGUGGCGAACGGGUGAGUAACACGUGAGUAACCUGCCCUUGACUUUGGGAUAACUUCAGGAAACUGGGGCUAAUACCGGAUAGGAGCUCCUGCUGCAUGUUGGGGGAUGGAAAGUUUCGGCGGUGGGGGAUGGACUCGCGGCUUAUCAGCUUGUUGGUGGGGUAGUGGCUGACCAAGGGUUUGACGGGUAGCCGGCCUGAGAGGGUGAACGGCCUCAUUGGGACUGCGAUACGCACCAGUAUCGUAUGGGAGGCAGCAGUGGGGAAUAUUGCACAAUGGCCGGAAGCCUGAUGCAGCAACGUCGCGUGCGGGAUGCCGGCCUUCGGGUUGUAAACCGCUUUCGCCGGUGACGAAGCGUGCGUGACGGUAAUGGGUAAAGAAGCACCGGCUAACUACGUG
rnacentral:rRNA from 1 species